rnacentral:rRNA from 1 species
UUGCGCUAUCAGAUGAGCCUAGGUCGGAUUAGCUAGUUGGUGAGGUAAUGGCUCACCAAGGCGACGAUCCGUAACUGGUCUGAGAGGAUGAUCAGUCACACUGGAACUGAGACACGGUCCAGACUCCUACGGGAGGCAGCAGUGGGGAAUAUUGGACAAUGGGCGAAAGCCUGAUCCAGCCAAGGCGCGUGUGUGAAGAAGGUCUUCGGAUUUAAAGCUCAUUGAGUGGGAGGAAGGGCAUUACCUAAUACGUUA